UGGGGAAUAUUGGACAAUGGGGGAAACCCUGAUCCAGCAAUGCCGUGUGUGCGAUGAAGGCCUGCGGGUUGUAAAGCACUUUCGUUGGGGAAGAAAUACUUGCAGCUAAUACCUGCAAGGGUUGACGUUACCCAAAGAAGAAGCACCGGCUAACUCUGUGCCAGCAGCCGCGGUAAUACAGAGGGUGCAAGCGUUAAUCGGAGUUACUGGGCGUAAAGGGCGCGUAGGCGGAUAUUUAAGUCGAUUGUGAAAUCCCUGGGCUUAACCUAGGAAUUGCAGUCGAUACUGGAUGUCUAGAGUAUGGGAGAGGUAAGUGGAAUUCCCGGUGUAGUGGUAAAAUACGUAGAUAUCGGGAGGAACACCAGUGCGAAGGCGACUUACUGGACCAAUACUGACGCUGAGGCGCGAAAGCGUGGGGAGCAAACAGG
rnacentral:rRNA from 1 species